UACGGGGGGAGCAAGCGUUGUUCGGAUUUACUGGGCGUAAAGGGCGCGUAGGCGGCCACCGCAAGUCAGUUGUGAAAUCUCUGGGCUUAACCCAGAAAGGUCAACUGAUACUGCGGGGCUAGAGUGCAGAAGGGGCAACUGGAAUUCUCGGUGUAGCGGUGAAAUGCGUAGAUAUCGAGAGGAACACCUGCGGCGAAGGCGGGUUGCUGGGCUGACACUGACGCUGAUGCGCGAAAGCGUGGGGAGCGAACAGG
rnacentral:rRNA from 1 species